UACGUAGGGGACCGAGCGUUGUCCGGAUUCAUUGGGCGUAAAGAGCGUGUAGGCGGCCAGGUAGGUCUGCUGUGAAAACUCGAGGCUCAACCUCGAGACGUCGGCGGAAACCAUCUGGCUAGAGUCCGGAAGAGGAGAGUGGAAUUCCUGGUGUAGCGGUGAAAUGCGCAGAUAUCAGGAAGAACACCCGUGGCGAAGGCGGCUCUCUGGGACGGUACUGACGCUGAGACGCGAAAGCGUGGGGAGCGAACAGG
rnacentral:rRNA from 1 species